rnacentral:rRNA from 1 species
GAACGCUGGCGGCGUGCUUAACACAUGCAAGUCGAACGGAAAGGCCCUGCUUUUGUGGGGUGCUCGAGUGGCGAACGGGUGAGUAACACGUGAGUAACCUGCCCUUGACUUUGGGAUAACUUCAGGAAACUGGGGCUAAUACCGGAUAGGAGCUCCUGCUGCAUGGUGGGGGUUGGAAAGUUUCGGCGGUUGGGGAUGGACUCGCGGCUUAUCAGCUUGUUGGUGGGUAGUGGCUUACCAAGGCUUUGACGGGUAGCCGGCCUGAGAGGGUGACCGGCCACAUUGGGACUGAGAUACGGCCCAGACUCCUACGGGAGGCAGCAGUGGGGAAUAUUGCACAAUGGGCGGAAGCCUGAUGCAGCAACGCCGCGUGCGGGAUGACGGCCUUCGGGUUGUAAACCGCUUUCGCCUGUGACGAAGCGUGAGUGACGGUAAUGGGUAAAGAAGCACCGGCUAACUACGUG